GUUUAACUGACAGCUCUAAUAUUUUCAAAAUUCGUUUGCCUGCAGUACUAUGUACUAGGAUAGUAUCUUUUUUCUGAAGACUCCAUCCUUUUGUGUCCUGCAGGAUCUUUGAUGACAAGCGUUAAGGAAUCUUCCUCCAUGUCGAUGAAGAAAGAGGUCCACAUGAUGGAGGAGACCUCCUCGUCCUUCUCCUCCCAACAAGCCAUGAUGUCAUCCAUGAUGGAGUCCAGCUCCUUCAGCAGCAUGGCUGCUGAGAUGAAGUGUGAAACCAUGUCAAUGUCCAGCAUGUCCUCCAUGGCUUCUGAAAGCUACGCUGUGAGCUCAAGCAGCCUGAUGGAGAUGUCGUCUCAGAUGGAGGGAGCCUCCUUCAGGGCCAUCAGUAAGACCUGUUCCCUUUGUUAUAGUCAACCACUGGCACACCACCAUCUAGUAGUCAACCACUAGUACAACACUGUCCACUAGACAACCACUGGCACACCACCAUCUAGUACACCAUCAUUUGUACACACCUAUUUGGUAGUAAACCACAGGUACACCACUAUCUAGCAGUCAACCACUGGUACACCACUAUCUGGCAGUCAACCACUGGUACAGCACUCUCUAGCAGUCAACCAUUGGUACACCACUCUCUAGUAGUCAACCCCUGAUCACUACCUAGUUGAUGGAGAGAAACUUAUUUUUAGGACACGUCGGCCAGCGAAAUAUUUUAUUGAAUAUUUCAGCAUGAUCAUAGAAUAAAAUAGAAUAGAAAGCUUUAUUGUCAUUGUACAAAGUACAACGAAAUGCAAUGAGCAGCUCCUUAAAAGUGCACACAUGUUAUCGAAUAUAUAAUAUAUACAAAAGCAAUAUAUAAUAAAAAUAAAUAUAUAAUAAAAAAAAAUUAAAAAUUAAAUACACAGUAAAACUUAAAUACACAAUAAAGACCACACACAUGGGAAAGUACAGGCAGCAAUGUUACCAAGGAUACAUUAAGUUAGACAAUGGGUAAACAAGAUUAUUAUAGAGAAACGUUUGCAGUAUGGGUAGUGAAUACAAAAAACGUAACAAAGGGGAGUGGGAGUGACCAUCGUGGAGAGUUUCAGAUUGGUGGGAGAGGCUAAGUUAAACCUCAAUACACUAUGGGAGAAGUGGACAUGCCUGCAAGUCUGCAAGCAAGGCUGCAACAGAGUUAAAGGCAGUGGCGGGUCGUGCAUUUCACACCUAGGCCUUCACUGGUGUCCUACAUGAACUAAUCCACCCCUUAAUGCCAUCAUUAUGACUCCACGGCUAUAGAAACCAUCAAUAUUACACAGAAAUUCAGUAUAACAGGGCGUUGCAUCACAGACAGGUAUCUCAUGUAGCAAGAAAGAAUGCCAUUACUAAAGCAAGAAACCCAAUCAGGAAAAUUCAACAAGUCUAUUUUCACUGUAGCCACAUCUGCCAUACAUACAUCACCUCUAGCAGAAACGUCAAUAUUAACCUAAUUAAAUUAAAAAAAAAAAUUAAAACUUUUAAAUAAAAUGCAUAACUCACCAAAACUACUGAUUAUUUGUACGCAAAGUCCAUCCUCCUUUCUUUCCUCAAGAUGAGUUUGAUUACACUGUUGUACAGUUUAUCUGGGCGUUUCAAUUCCAACAAUAAGUCCCUUUCUAUCGCCAUGGAGGCUAAUGCUGAAAGUCGAGUCUGCCCAGUCGUGUUUUUUGGAGUGGGAUUUAAUUCGCUACAAGGAAUCGCUUUAUUUGUUCAUUUAUUAUUCGCUUUUGUGCCGGUGUCACGUUAAAAUUGUACCGGGGGCGAGAAUUGUACCGGCCUACGUCAUCCAUAGUAAUCCAUUCCAUACCUGCCUGGCAACAGACGAUCGCAUCGUCCGUUGCCUGGCAACGGGCGAUCGCGUCGAAUGACGUGGAAGGUUCUUGAACAUUCGCGAACUCGUUCAUUGAGUGCGACAAGACAGAUAACACUUAUUUUACAAAUUACAUUUAUUAGCGUUCCUAACUUUAUAUUUGUAUUGUAUUGCAUUGUAUUUAUCUAUUUCCCUACACAGUAAAAGCUAAAUGUUAUGGGGAUAACGUGAAUAAUAAUAAUAAAAAAACAUUUACCAGUUAGUAAAUGCCUGCUCACCUAUCUACCCAUUUAUCUAUCUAUUAUCUAUCCAUCUGUCUAUUACCUAUAAUCUAUUCUCUAAAUUAAAUUCAGGAAAUUAAACUAACACAAGCUAGCUAGACUAUGUUACACUUUAAACACUCAGUUUACUAGCUAAAUUCGAUUAAACAAUUAAAUGUAAUACAAAUAUAAAGUAAAAACAAGUGUUAUCUAUGUAUUAUAUUAUUUCGUCUUUGGCAAGAUGAGCGCGAUUGAAACCUACCUGGUUCCCCGUAACCCUACAUGCCCACUGCACCGUCAGUCAACGGACGUGGGAAGGCGUGGCUGACGGAUGGGGGAGUAGUCUUUGCAGAGGCAUCCGUCAGCCAAUCAAAUCGCUUCGCCGGGUUCUUCCCGCUUCUUCCUGCUUGUUGCGAGGCAAGAUGACCCGCUUUUCCGCUUUCCAGUAUCGUCAGAGCCUGAGUCGCGUCACAGUGCUUCAAUUUGCAUACGCGAUCUGAUUGGAUGACGGAUCCGUCACUGCCGAAAAAGUUGAACAUUUUUCAACUUUUUGACGGAGCCGAAGGCUCCAACGGAACGGACGGAUCCACAAUGCAUUGCGCGUCCGUCCCCAUUCAAAGUCAAUGGGGAUCAGUCAACGGAAGGAGGUAGUGGGCACGAGGCGUAAGGGGUUGUCCAUUGCGGACAACCCCUUACGUAAUCUGUUGUCCGUUGCCUGGCAACGGACAACUGAUUACGUAACCGGUACAAAUUUGGCACCCGGUACAAAUUUGGUGUGACAACGCCAGUACUAUCGAUUCUGAAGGCAUCAAGGCAGAUUUCUUUGACCCUGGCAACACAUGAUGGCUGAAAUAUGAUUGGAUAAAAGCUCUAAGACAAACAUACACUAGUGGAAGCAGCGCAACCAAGAGAAAAGCUAUGAAAUGAAGAGAAUAGACUAUUGGAAAAAAAUAUAUUAAAACAUAAGUCAGUGAUUCUGAUAGUGUUUAGGCCAGCAGAGAAGGCCUUGCUGGCCCUGACAGCCCACCACUGGUUAAAGGAAUCUGCACAACAAAUAAGUCAAUUGGCUUGGCCUGAGUAUCAGAUUUCGUGGCUACAAUGCAAAUGACAAUGAAGAGCUCUCAGUCAGAGAGAGGAAGGGAAGUAUCUCUAGGUGCAGGGAGAAUGUAUACAAUUCAUUUUAAUGUGAAUAUUAAUGAUAUAAACAAGGUUUAUAAAAUUUGUAUAUAAUUGUAUAGUUAUGAUUGCUAUUUCCACGACAGUUCCUCCCUUUUUGAUCAUAAGAUCAACACUUAUUACAGGCCAAAGUGAUAAUUAUUGGAAUACAAAUGAACAGUGUGUGAACAGUAAUGGCGUAGUAUUCUAGUGGUUCUAAUCAUGUUGUCUGAUUUAGAGGCAGGAGUAAAACUGCCUGAACGCAUUCUAAAAAACUAUUGGCUAUUGGAAAAAAUAAUGGGGGGAGAGACUGUGAUAGUUAUGUAGACAUAAAGUGUAGCAGAGUUGCAAUUGUUAAGGCAUAUUGUGUAACUGAACAGCAUGGUUCAUCCUCCCUUUUCCUCCAAGUGAAGAAUUGUGUGCCAGCUUGCACAGAGCAUGAAGGAAAGAACGAGGGGCUACUAACUUACCAUCAGGGCGGAACCACAAGCUAGGCUCCAGAGGUGCAGAGCUGACCUUAGACUAACUGUCUUCUAAGUGUUCACCAAAUGAGAGGACUGGUAUUAGGUCAGGUCGCACUGGUUUUAGGCCAUCAGGGAAGGUUUAAAUGCAGCUUGUUUUGCAGCAGAAUCUGCUUAUACAUUAACCUGGGAAACUUAAGGCAUCUCUAUGUUCUAAACAUUUGACAAUAGCCAAGACAGAAACGUAGAAGCUAGUUUUAACUAGCAAGCUAAGCUAAAGACAAAUUAUUAAUCAAUAAUUAAUAAUUAUAGCAUUUCUAGCAUGGUGGUGCUAGAGGUUGUAAUGAAGUCUAUGCCCAAUUACAUAAACUUAAACUAUGUAUGUGCAGCUAGUGGUAGAUGUAGUUACAACAAUGUCUGUAAGAACUGCAUCUCUGCAUCCCUACAAUCCGCGUCAGUCUGGAGGAGUCCUCUCUUGUAUCAAACCAAGUCACCAUCACCUUGUGGUGUGUUUCAAUUCUGUGGACUUUUGACACUUUUGAUAUUCAUCAUUGAAAAAGAGUUUAACCUAAUUGUUGCACAGUUUACAGGUAGUGCGCAUGACAAAUGCUAAUUCAAAUUUGCUCAUUACUGUGAGUUCAUAGUUAAUUAUUGUACAUGAUUUUUAAAUCAGAGAUGCAGUGGCAGCCUCAGCUUGGAGACAACUUUGAGAUGCUGCUGAGACGGUCAUUAGUAUGACUUUCAUUUAAGACAAAAGACUAGAAUAUUAUAACAUUCUAGAAUAGCUUGAUGCUCAAAGCUUAAGAGCUAUACCAUAUGCAUAGGUUGUUGAUACACUAGUGUGAUGUGUUGUUCUGCUUUAUUGGUGGGAAAAGGAGAUUGAUGGUUUUUAGUGAGAGAUACAACAGCUGCACAUUCAGCAAGAUGAACUAUAUCUGUGUUGGGGGCUUGAUGUGUCAUUGUGAUUUAGAUACCUUCUCUUGAUGCAUUAUAGUUACAGAACUGUUCAACAAUUAAUCUUGAAAUAAAACAAAAAAACAAUAUUUGAGGAAUCCUCUGAGAUUAACUAGCAAUGAGUACUGAGGACAAUGGUAAACUCUGAAUAUUCUAGUUAUAACGAUAGUAUUCGUACAGCUUUUCUAGUUACUCUAUUAUUCUGACUCAUGUAAGAAGCUUGAACCAAGAACAUUUAAACUCGGACCAGCCGGAGUACAAGGGUUUACUGUAUCAUGCUUAUGCCACAGAAGACUGUCCUUCUCCUUAUGACCGUGGGAGUCUGACAUUUUCUCGGAAAGAAAACAAAAAGAAACAAACAUAUUAAUUAGAGCUGUCAAGCGAUUAAAAUAUUUAAUCGUGAUUAAUCGCAUUAAUGUCAUAGUUAACUCUAAUUAAUCGCGAUUAAUCGCAAAGUAUUUUUCCAUGCUAAAUAUCCCUUGAUUUUUUUGUCCCAUAAUUCUUCUCAUUUUAAUUCUCUUAUCAACAUGGUGAAGUGUUUGUUUGCCUUGUGCAAAUGAUUUUUUAUUGAUAACAACAUUGGCAUAUACACUGAUCAAAACAGGACGAUACAAAAAAAGAGCCUAUAGUGCAAUUAAACGACUGCUUUGAACAAAUGUCAUUUGAACAUAGCAGUCAGGCUACUGCUUCUUUGUUUUGAGCCAAAAAAAAAAAAAGUUUUUUUUUUUAUUUUAAAUAAAAUAAUUACGUUAAUCGCGCGAUAAAAAAAUUAACGCCGUUAAAUUUGUUUUGCGUUAACGCCGUUAAUAACGCGUUUAACUGACAGCUCUAAUAUUAAUACAAACAAAGGAAUACACACACAGCUGAUACAAAAUAGGGAUACAUGAAACAGAGCAUAACCAUUUGGGUUAUAGUCUUACUAAAAGUAUGUCAAUGUAAUUUAAUAAUUUUAAGACAUGUGGAACUCAACGUAAAUGGAGACCACGGGGCUGUUUAAUAAAGAUACAAAGAAAUGUUACCUAACUGAACCAUAUUGAUAUAUUUUGUACAAAAUCAGUCAAUCAGAUAGCAAUAUCAAUGCCUCAAGGGAGCCUGAAUUAUUUAUCCUUUAGCGUCUGUUAUGUUAGUUUCAGGGUACUCACUCGUGAUUUGUCCAUCAAACUUGUCUGAAGAAAAACUUCUGAAGAGUGGAGUUUUCCUCUGGCUCUGGAUCAUUGUCUUGAACUGCUGCGUUCUUUGGACAUUGUUAUUAUCUGAAUGAAAACGUUAUACGAUCUCUCAAACCAUAUGAAUACAAUCCAGAAGUAAAACUAUAACAAUCAUUGCAUCCAAAUACAUUGUGAAUUUCGGGACAAAGUAAACUGCUUCCCCAGCACCGUAGAGAGAAGGGUCUACAAAAGGUUGUAGACCAAAAUGAAAGUAAUGCAUGGAAAGAAAGAUAGAAGCGCGGCGUGAUACAACACAACAACAACUAGGAUGAGACACAACAAUGUUAGGAAGUUAGUCGUGUAACGAAAACCAAAUACUUCAAAAUGUUUGAAGUCCUUGGUUUUAGUUAUUAGUUCAUCCCCCUUGAGGGGGGCCUAUUUCCUCAGAUGUUUCAGUGCCAUACUUACUUACUGGCACUGUUUGCGUCCGUAAAGGCCAGAUGUUAUUUCUCCAUUAUAUUUAGUUGUACCACUCUUCUACUUUUCUGAAACAAGAUAAGUUUAGUAACAUGACAAGAAAAGUUGAACAGUGGUUAAAUCAAAAUUCCCACCGUCGUAUGUGUUUUAAGGUUGGGAGGCUCCUCUAUUGUGUACAUUCAUUCAGGCUCAAAACAACAUGAGGACGCUCAAGUCAUCCUACUUGGUCUUCCCAUGGGCGCAAUCAUCACCUCUUGUCUACAUUCAUCACACCAGUGGAAGGGCCACGAAUAUGAAUUAAAACUAAAAGUUUAAAUAAAAAACAAAAAUGGCAGUCAAAGGUGCGGGUCAGAAUUGCUUAUCUUCCGCGGGACAUACACUACCUGUGUGUGGGGUCAAAAACAGUUUGCCCUUAUGUUGGGUCCCAAACUGGUUUAUUACUAAUAGGUGAAUGGAAUUUAUUUGAGAGCCAGUCGUCCAACCCCCGUCAUUUUAAUCUACGCAGUCUUCCGGAGGGAAAAUUACCCUUAUUGAAAGUCGUAUUUUAUAUUUCCACGACACUAAUACACCACCAUUUGUACACCACUAUCUAGCAGUCAACCACUAGUACACCACUGUCUAGGAGAUAAACACUGGUACACCUCCACUGUCUAGUACAGCACCACUGGUACAUCACUCUCUGGUACACCACCAUUGGCACACCACUAUCUAGGACACCACCACUGGUACACCACUCUCUGGUACACCACCGUUGGUACACAACCAUCUAGUACACUACCACUGUGGUCAGUCACUGGUAAACCUCCACUGUAGUAGACCAGUGGUUCCCAAACUUUUGUAAACCAUUGCACCCCUCUACACUGUUGUUUUCCCACUAGGCACCCCUACCCACAAAAAACGUUAGUUCUGAAAUUAACAGAACAGCCUACUACUGGGAAAGAAACUGUAAUGCAAAAUAAACUGUAAUGCAGCAAAUAGCUGCAUUUGUGGCAUUACAGUUUACACGACAGGACACCUCAAGAUACAUUAUGGCAAAAGAUAGCCGAAAUACACAUGCAAUACUUUGUAUGAAGAUAAUAUAUGUAAAUGGUCAACAAUGAACAUGUUUACCAUUCAAACAUGUUAUUCAGGAGUCAGCUUAUUGAUUCUUAUUGUAUUGAUACUAUAGAACUUUCCCUUGGAUGUUUGCGUUACAUGAUUUCUGAAAUACUUUAUGGAAAGAAUAGUAGAUAAUUAUCUGAAUUGUUUUUGGUACGACACUGACUGCCGGCAUUUGAAAGCCAUGAAUAUUAAUUUUAUCUCUAUUAAAUUGAAAACUGUAAUCUGUGUUAUAUGUUUCAAUCUAAAAUGUUUGUGUGCGGUAGAAAGCUAAUUCUGUCAGAGGUUUUUCAAGGCAGUUCUCGGCUUUUGUCACGGCACCCAAUUUAAGAAACACUGCAUGACAACCAAUAGUAACCACCUCCACUAUCACGUCUACUGUCUACUAGUACACGUCUACUGGUACAAAACGAUCUACUGGUAAACCACCAGUACACAACUUUCUACAACACUACAACUGGUACACCACUAUUUAGUAGACACCCAAUGGUAAACCUUCUUAGAUACCACUACUGGUACAUCACUAUCCAGUAGAAACCCACUGUUCAACUAACACCUUCACAAUACUGACAAGUCCGACAGGAGUUAUUUAAAUAACUAUCAGAAACAUGCAGAGAUUUAAGUGCAGCUACAUUUAUCUGCGCAGACUCACAGGUCACACAAAGUACAGCUGAAGGAUAUGGAGAUGAUCUGUAUUAUUAGGACUCCUUUUAAUCCUAUCAUCUUCUAAGGUCUCUUUCCUCCGGCUUGUCCACCAGGUUGUGCUCCGAGGAUCGAGGCCCUGCCUGAGGACAUCAGCAUCCAGCCAGGCAAGGUCCUGACCGUGGCCUGCGCCUUCUCUGGCGACGCUAAAAAUAUAGAGUGGUCCCGUGGCGGAAAAAACAUUGAGGUGACGGCUGGUGGUCGCUUUCACAUCGAUACCACUGAGGACCUGACCACCCUUAUCAUCACUGGAGUGAAGGAGGAGGACGCCGGUACAUACACCCUCCACCUCUCCAACGAGCUGGGAUCCGACUCAGCCACCGUCCACAUUAGCAUUCGUUCAAUGUAAAGGAGAACCGACUUACGUCCUUCACCCUCCCCAUCUCCCUUCUUUCACACUAUAAAGUUAUUAAUUGAGGAAAAAAAUAUAUUCUUACUUGAUAAAGACCGGUAUUUCUAUUGUAAAUAUGAACUAUUUUUAUACCAAACUUGACAUUAAUUUAUGCCAAACUAGACUAAAGUCUAAAGUUGUUAUAAACUGUGCCAUACUGGAUAAUUAUAACUUAUGAUUUUUGAACUACUUUUCUGUGUACAUAAUGUAUAUAGCCGAAUUUAACGGUUAUGAAAGAUGUAUGAAUUGUUAUUUAUGACAAUAUUAACUGAAACAAAAGCAACAAAAUGUUUUCAAAGGAGAAAGUUUUGAAUGAAACGAAUACCCAUGGAAACAAAGAAAUUAAAACACUGUGCCUCAACAAUAAGUUGAAGUCUUAAGAUUGCCUCAACAGGUAGAGAGGCUCCCUGUUGACGUUAUGAACCAGAUUCAGAGACAAAACUAUAAAUAUGCACACGCCUCUGCGUGUGAUAUUGCAGUAUCUAUGAACUGUAACAUGAGCAUAAGGCCCUGAGUGCUGUUUGCAUAUUACCCUCAUGCAAGCAGCAUGAACUGGUCUUGUGCUCAGACUGACCGUGUCAUACCACCAUUUGAAUGACAUGCCCAGAGUGCGAGCGGCCUGCACUUUCUGGGCAUAGUUUUAUUGUGUGCUCUGUCUCUGGCAAACAACCUCCAGCGAGACCUCGGAAAUACCAUCAUCUGGCUUAACAGAGGCUCCAUGCUGGAGCUUGUUUGCAGAGUCAGAGCUGGCUCUUGGAGGUCAACAGUGUGUUUGUGUGUUAGCUUUAGAAACUUCCCAGUAAACAGGGUCCACGGACCCCCACAGCCUAUUCACUGGCUAUACCUCCCCACAAGGAGAAAGGGGGAAGGGAUCACCCUUUGGUUUGAUUAAAUUAGAAUUGUAGCAUUAACUAUGUUUGUGACCUCCUUGAGUGAUAUUCAUUAUUGAUUUAAUAAAGCAUGAUUAUCAGCACUAUAUAUGUGUCUGUCUCACUGUUUGUAUUCAUUUACUUAAUUUCCCCCAAAAUUUUAACAUUAUUCAUACCUAAUGACUCAUCCCAGUCAGUUUUAUUCUCAGGGGUUUCUUCAAGGAAGUUGAGCGAAGGGACAGAAAAUUAAUUCCAUGCGGCAUAGUUAACACUGGAAGAGGCAACUGUAGCCUGCUAGUUUUGUCAACAGAUCUUUAGCUCUCAUGAAUAAGAAAAU
ensembl:lncRNA